rnacentral:snoRNA from 1 species
UUGAUUUGACAGACCUGGAGCAGUUACUGUCUGCUGCUAAGAUUUCCAUUACAAGAAGAAAGCAUCCUCGUGCUUUGUCUGUCUCAUUCUGGCAGUGAAGAUUGAAUGAGAGAAUACAGGA